AGUGAACGCUGGCGGUAGGCCUAACACAUGCAAGUCGAACGGCAGCACAGUAAGAGCUUGCUCUUACGGGUGGCGCGUGGCGGACGGGUGAGGAAUACAUCGGAAUCUACUUUUUCGUGGGGGAUAACGUAGGGAAACUUACGCUAAUACCGCAUACGACCUACGGGUUAAAGCAGGUGAUCUUCGGACCUUGCGCGAUUGAAUGAGCCGAUGUCGGAUUAGCUAGUUGGCGGGGUAAAGGCCCACCAAGGCGACGAUCCGUAGCUGGUCUGAGAGGAUGAUCAGCCACACUGGAACUGAGACACGGUCCAGACUCCUACGGGAGGCAGCAGUGGGGAAUAUUGGAGCAUGGGCGCAAGCCUGAUCAAGCCAUACCGCGUGGGUGAAGAAGGCCUUCGGGUUGUAAAGCCCUUUUGUUGGGAAAGAAAAGCAGCAGGUUAAUACCCCGCUGUUCUGACGGUACCCAAAGAAUAAGCACCGGCUAACUUCGUG
rnacentral:rRNA from 1 species